GAUGAACGCUAGCGGCAGGCCUAAUACAUGCAAGUCGAACGGUGUCUUCGGACAUAGUGGCGCACGGGUGCGUAACACGUAUGCAACCUACCUUACAUUGGGGGAUAGCCUUUCGAAAGGGAGAUUAAUACCGCAUAAGACAGUAGCUGGGCAUCCAGCAGCUGUUAAAGAUUUAUCGAUGUAAGCUGGGCAUGCGUCCAAUUAGCUCGUUGGUGAGGUAACGGCUCAGCAAGGCAAUGAUUGGUAGGGGAACAGAGAGGUCCAUCCCCCACACCGGCACGGAGAUGCGGGCCAGACUCCUACGGGAGGCAGCAGUAGGGAAUAUUGGGCAAUGGACGCAAGUCUGACCCAGCCAUGCCGCGUGCAGGAUGAAGGCGUUAUGCGUUGUAAACUGCUUUUAUACAGGAAGAAACGACUCUUGCGAGAGGCAUUGACGGUACUGUAUGAAUAAGCACCGGCUAACUCCGUGCCAGCAGCCGCCGUAAAAC
rnacentral:rRNA from 1 species